rnacentral:tRNA from 1 species
GCCCCCAUCGUCUAGCGGCUCAGGACAUCUCUCUUUCAAGGAGAUGACGGGGAUUCAAAUUCCCCUGGGGGUA